AAACCUCAUUCUGCCUCUUCUCAAUCCCACCUUUCCCUUAUUUUCUUGUUUCUCUACACUUUUCUCUUUUAUUAUUUUCUGCUGCUGUAUGGUAAUAUAAAUAAUAAUGGUAGAUGGAAUCCUACCAAUAAUUCAUUAUUUUCUUCUGUAUAUGACAAAUUACACCACUUCUUGCCUGUCGGUAUUUAAAGAGGACAAAGAGCUGUGCAGCUGUCAUCAACAUUAUAUGGAUUAUUGUGAAAAAAAAAAUCCUACAAACAAGCAAACAAACAAGGUUGAGGGCUUUCUUCGAGAAGGGGCUUAUGGAGCUGGAAGAGCCGCAGUGGAUUUAGAUGAGCAGAGGUAAGGAGUCUUAAUCUUUCUCAGCAAGCAAACAAGGAGAAGGAAGAAAGAGAAGGUUGGAGCCAUGGUUGUACAUUGAUGAUAAAAGCAAUGAGUGUUUCUCAGAGGAGAAAAGGUUUUUUGGACUUUUUUGAGAGAGG
rnacentral:misc_RNA from 1 species